rnacentral:lncRNA from 1 species
UUUUAUUUCAUCACACCCUAUCUGCAACUGCUCAGCCUUAUGACUAAAGUUGAACCUCAGUAUAAUGAAUCAUCGGAUAUAACGAAAUCAAAAAAUCUUUUGACCUCAACAAACACACACUUGUAACAAAUACUGGAUGUAACAAAGGUAUUGAUGCUACUUCGUUAUAACUAAGUUUGACUGUACGAAUAGUGCUCGUAAUGAAUAUUGGAUAUAAUGAAGGUAUUUUCAUGUUGAAUGUGACUUAAUCAUAAGAAGGUGUGACUAGUCAAACCUUGCUAUAACUAAGUUGCAUCCAGCACCAAAAUACCUUCGUUAUAUUCAUUAUUAGCAUC